rnacentral:lncRNA from 1 species
CCAUUCCCCUCGGCUGUUCCUGCCCAUCUCUACCCUGCAAGUGGAAUAGGUCUCAUGAGAGCUGAUGAUUUGAUAAGGGGAAACCUCUUGUGCUUGGCUGUCAUUCUCUCGACUGCUGCUGUGUGAGACGUGCCUUUCACCUCCUGCCAUGAUUCUAAGGACUCCCCGGCCACGUGGAACUGCUUCCAGGGCUGUGGGGCCAAAUGUGCCCUCUCCUGCCCUCAUGGCAGCCUCAGUUCCUGAGUUCUCAUCAUUUCUUCCUUGCUACAAUCAGAACUGAGUCUAGCACCCUUCAGGACAAAUCCAGAUCCCCAGGAGAGACAGCCUGAUGAGUUCAGCUUGGAAAGGGUCUGUUCCUGUCCUAUCAGCUGUGGCCAGCGUGCCAGGGUCACGUACCAGUGCGACUGCCACAGCACGGCCCAUCUGUCCAGGAGUAGUUCUCAGUCAACGGGCUCCAGCUGGGACUCAGGCUGAAUAGAUGCCCACAAGGAUGUCUGCUACCACAUGUAAAGUGCCCCAAAGCAGGACAAGUGCUCAGCAAGUGUGGCCCGUAUGAUUAAGGGAAUUCUGUGUCUGUCUGAGAAGAAAGUGGCGAUGAGCAAUAACAAGGCCUGUCGUCCAUCUGGAAGAACUCCAGCCACCCCCCAAACUUUCAGGUGCAUAGAACCACCUGGACAUAAGACACAAACAUUGUUACCCCAAAAAGGAAAAAAAUUAUUUGGACUAUAUUAAAAUAAAAUAUUUGUUUAUCAAAAUACAUCAUUAAGAGUAAAAAGGCAAGACAGCAAGUUGAAGAAGAUAUUUGCAAUACACAUAGCCAGGAAAGGACAAGAACCCAGAAUAUAUAAAGAACUCCUAUAAAUCAGUAAGAAAAAGACAAUCUGAUUAAAACAUUGGCAAAAGAUCUGAAGAGGCACUUCACAAAAGAGGAUGCCCAAAUGGCCAAUAAACAUAAGAAAAUGUGCUCAACAUCAUUAGUCAUCAGGGAAAUGCAAGUUGAAGCAUAAAAUGGUAUCACUCCACACCCACAAGCAUGGCUGGGAUGAAAAGAGAGAUGCGCCCAGUGCUGACGAGGAUGUGCAUCAACUGGAACUCUCAGACACUGCAGGUGGGUGUCUAAAUUGGUACAGCCACUUUGGAAAAUUGUUCAGCUGUAUUUGUUAAACCUGAACACAAGCAAAUCCUAUCUGUGAUGCCACAAUUCUGCUGAUCGACAUAUCUCCAUCAGAAAUGUAUACAAAUGUCCACAGAGAUACAUGUCAUCGAAUUUUCAUGGCAGCCCUCUUUUGAUAUCCCAAAGCUGGAAACAACCCAAUGCCCAUCAACAGCAGAAUGCAUACAAAUUGUGGUACAAUCAUAGGCUGGAAUGCUACUCAGCAUUGAGAAUAAACAAACCACAACUGCAUAUAAUGGUAUGAACCCAUCCUUCCUACCAG